rnacentral:rRNA from 1 species
UACGUAGGGUCCGAGCGUUGUCCGGAAUUAUUGGGCGUAAAGGGCUCGUAGGCGGUCUGUUGCGGUCGGGAGUAGUAAAACUUACAGCUUAACUGUGAGCGUUGCUUUCGAUGACGGGCAGACUUGAGGGCAUUUCAGGGGGAGAACGGGAAAUUCCUGGUGUAGCGGUGAAAUGCGUAGAUAUCGUAAGGAAGACCAGUGGCGAAGGCGGGUCUCUGGACAGUUCCUGACGCUGAGGCACGAAGGCCAGGGGAGCAAACGGG